rnacentral:rRNA from 1 species
CCUACGGGAGGCAGCAGUGAGGAAUAUUGGUCAAUGGACGAGAGUCUGAACCAGCCAAGUAGCGUGAAGGAUGACUGCCCUAUGGGUUGUAAACUUCUUUUAUAUGGGAAUAAAAUGUUCCACGUGUGGGGUUUUGUAUGUACCAUAUGAAUAAGGAUCGGCUAACUCCGUGCCAGCAGCCGCGGUAAUACGGAGGAUGCGAGCGUUAUCCGGAUUUAUUGGGUUUAAAGGGAGCGCAGGCGGAUUGUUAAGUCAGUGGUGAAAGUGUGAGGCUCAACCGC